UUGAACAGCGUCCUUAACCAAACUUUUUUGACAAUUGUCGUUAAUCAUAAAAACAACUAAACAACGCAUUUUAAAGAUUUUUAAGCAUUUUUAUCAUAUUGAAUCUGUUUAGUUUGAGUUUUACGUUCAAAUUAUAUAUUGUAGAGAUUUACAACGUUGGUGUCGUAGAGAAUACUGUGAACAAAGCUCUAGUAUCAAGUAUUGGUUUGUUACGUGAGAAUGGAACAAAAGGGAAAUAAACUUAAACGUUCCAUUAAUAAUUUAGAUCAAGGCGAUUCGGUAAUUAAGCGUCUUAAGAGGACAAAAGACCAUCAUUUGCAAGACAUCUCUUUAGAAUCUUCUGAUGAAAUAAUAGAAAAACUAACAAGCGUAGUGGAUCCUCUAAGAGAAAAUGAAGUUGAUGUGACAUAUCUUUCUUUAAAGAAGACCUGCGGUGAAGAAUCUCCAAGUAACAAUCAAUCGUACCAAUGUGGUGUGUGUAAUAGAAAGUUUUUAAAGAUGUCUAAUCUCAUGGACCAUAUGAACAUACACUUAGGAUAUAAAUGUAGGUAUUGUAGAGAAACAUUGAUAACAUCCACCCCUGUUUCUGAUCAUAUUGUACUUAAUGAGGAAGCAGCUUGUUUGUUAAAAAAGUGGAAAGAAAUGGAGAAACAUAGGUGUUUUGUUUAUAUCAAUGAAGUUAAUUUUGAUUAUUCGCAUGUACCUUAACUUUGAAGAAGGUAAUUUGAAAACAACAGAUAAAUAGAAUAUUUGUAUGAAUGCCACUAUAACUAUAUUAAUGUUGCAAAUAUCUUGAAUAUAUCUGUAACAAUUCAGCAUUUUUUAAAAAGCAAUCUGCUUCCAUAUUUGAUUAUAAAUGGUAAUUUGCUGCAAAAAAAAACUUUACUGUUUGGAGACAGAAACUAGGAUGUAAUUGUUUUAUACUUGCAAUGGUACUGUACUCUUUAUAAAAACUGAAGUUAAGGAAAUGGAAAAACAAAUACAUCAUUUACUAUUAAAUUCACUUAAACAAUUUAAAGCCUUUAAAAGAUUAUUAGUGUAACAGUAACAGUUUAUAACUUUUUGAGUUAACAAUUGGUAAUUAUUUAUAUAGGUGGAUGCCCUUCCCUUUUACUGUAAUUGAUUGGUAAUUUGCACCAAUUUGUUAUGUAUAUUGCAAAUUUGCAAGAAAAUGUGUAAUUAAACUAUUAAAUAAAUUCCUGUAUGAUUUAA